UUGGGAGUAGCGCUGAGAGCCGGAGAGGGGCUGUGAUGGAGACAGGGAAGACGAGGCAGCGGGGAAGAAGGAGCGAGGCAUGAAAAGGGUAUCGGAAGGGAAGGUCUGCACCAACCAGGAGCUUGGCAAUGACAAGUCUGCAACAAGAAGGGCACGUUUGAGAUAUGAUGAGGCUCCUGACUGGUGCUCUGCAGUACUAUGAUUUGGUAUGUGCUCACUUUGAUAGCAAGUGUAAUCAGCACCCUGGGACUGUCUGUUCAAGGUGCUGGGGGCUCACGGGAGGAGCCGCAGUUUGUCACGGCUCGCGCUGGAGAGAGUGUGAUCUUGGGGUGUGAUGUAGUACAUCCACUGACGGUACAACCCCCUCCCUAUGUUGUUGAGUGGUUUAAAUUUGGAGUUCCCAUUCCUAUCUUCAUUAAAUUUGGUUUCUAUCCUCCUCAUGUAGACCCAGAAUAUGUUGGCCGUGCAGCGCUUUACGAUAAGGCAUCAUUACGCAUUGAACAAGUUCGAUCACAAGAUCAGGGUUGGUACGAAUGCAAAGUGCUGAUGUUGGAACACCAAUAUGACACCUUUCAUAAUGGCAGCUGGGUACAUCUCACAGUAAACGCACCUCCCACAUUCACAGAAACCCCCCCUCAGUACCUAGAGGUGAAGGAGGGAAGCAGUAUCACACUAACUUGUACUGCUUUUGGUAAUCCCAAACCAACCGUUUCUUGGCUGCGAGAAGGAGAGUUUCUGGGACGAACAUCAAAAUAUCAGCUGAGCGACGGAAGUUUGACCAUUUCAUCCAUUGGACGUGAAGAUAGGGGAUCAUACAUGUGCCGAGCUACCAGCAUUCAGGGAGAAGCAGUUCACAGCACACGGCUACUUGUACAAGGGUCGCCCUUCAUUGUUUCCCCUCCCGAGAACAUUACGGUUAACAUUUCCCAAGAUGCUCUGUUCACAUGCCAGGCUGAAGCGUAUCCAGGGAACCUUACAUACACCUGGUACUGGCAGGAAGAGAAUGUUUUCUUCAAGAAUGACCUGAAGUUGAGGGUUCGCAUUCUGAUCGAUGGAACACUUAUUAUAUUCAGAGUGAAACCAGAGGAUGCUGGGAAAUACACCUGUGUGCCUAGCAAUAGCUUGGGGCGCUCCCCAUCUGCAUCAGCAUAUCUAACUGUCCAGUAUCCUGCCCGUGUAGUAAACAUGCCACCUGUAAUAUAUGUCCCAGUCGGUAUUCAUGGUCAUAUCCGCUGCCCUGUAGAAGCUGUACCACCUGUCACCUUUGUGAAAUGGAAUAAGGAUGGUCGGCCUCUGAGGAUUGAUAAGUUUUCUGGCUGGAAGCUUUUGGAUGAUGGAACAAUUCACGUUGAGGAGGCUACGGAAGAAUUGCUGGGCACUUACACCUGUGUGCCUUAUAAUGCGUUGGGGACCAUGGGCCAAUCCCCUCCUGCACGGCUGCUGCUGAAGGACCCGCCCUAUUUCACGGUGCUGCCCGGCUGGGAGUAUAGACAGGAAGCCGGGAGGGAGCUGCUGAUUCCUUGUGCAGCUGCAGGAGAUCCUUUUCCUUCCAUUUCAUGGAGAAAGGUUGGAAGGCCCUCUUUCAGUAAGCACAGUGUGCUGCCUAGUGGCUCCUUGCAAUUUAGAUCUCUCAGUAAAGAAGACCAUGGGGAAUGGGAAUGUGUGGCUAGUAAUGUUGUAACAAGUAUCACUGCCAGCGCUCACCUCACUGUUAUUGGCACCAGCCCUCAUGCUCCAUCCAACGUUAGAGUUGUGGUGUCCAUGAACACAGCAAAUGUUUCUUGGGAAGCAGGGUACGAUGGAGGAUUCGAGCAGACAUUUUCAGUUUGGUAUGGCGCUCUGAUAAAGCGUGCCCAGUUUGGUCCUCAUGACUGGGUCUCCAUGCCUGUUCCCAGUGGAUCAUCUUUUCUUCUUGUAGACUCUUUGGACCCAGAGACAGAGUACCAAUUCAGCGUCCUUGCACAGAACAAACUAGGAACUAGCUCCUUCAGUGAGGUUGUCACACUAAGGACUCUAGCCUUUCCUCUUACAACCCCUGAGCCUCUUCUGGUUUUGACCUCACCCCGCUGCCUGACAGCCAAUAGAACUCAGCAGGGAGUGCUUCUUUCCUGGCUCCCUCCAUCCAAUCACAGCUUUCCAUUGGAUCGUUACAUCAUGGAGUUCCGCUUGGCAGAGAGGUGGGAAAUUCUGGAUGACUCCAUCCUAGGCAGUGACACAGAAAUCCUAGCAAAGGAACUAUCCCAGGACACUUGGUAUGAAUUCCGUGUACUGGCAGUCAUGCAGGAUCUGAUCAGUGAGCCCAGUAACAUUGCUGGAGUGUCUAGCUCAGAUGUCUUCCCAUCUCCUGAUCUGAGUGAAGAGGGCUUUGCUCGGCCAGUGCUUGCUGGGAUUGUUGCAACCAUUUGUUUUCUAGCUGCUGCCAUCUUGUUUAGCACACUGGCUGCCUGUGUAGUAAAUAGGCAGCGCAAGCGGAAGAUGAAAAGGAAAAAAGUAUCUCAUUCCUGUCCUACAGAUCCACCUCUUUCCAUUACGCAUUGUCGCAAAAGUAUGGAGUCUCCGUUAUCUUCAGGUAAGGUGAGUCCAGAGAGUGUACGGACACUUCGUGCUCCAUCUGAAUCCUCUGAAGACCAGGGACCCCCAUCAAAACGGCCAUUGAGUCCUGGGCGUGAAAAAGAGCUUUCUCUUUACAAGAAGACAAAACGUGCCAUGACAAGCAAAAAAUAUAGUGUCAGCCAGGCAGAGGCUGAGGUCACAACACCGAUUGAGUUGAUUAGCAGGGGGCCAGAUGGACGAUUUGUGACAGCUGGACCAGAACAAGAACCCACUCUCAGGAGCCGCAGGAUUCAGGGUUUUCCAUUUGCUGAGGAAACAGAUAUGUAUCCAGAAUUUCGACAGUCAGAUGAGGAAAAUGAUGAACCAUCUGGUUUAAAGUCCCAGCUAACUCCAUUAUCCUCAAGCCAGGACUCUCCUCUUCAGCCUCCUGCCUACAGUCCCCGCUUUCAACAUCAGCCUUCUGAAGGAAGACAACAACCUUCUGGUCAGUCUAGGCCAGGUGGAUAUCAUCAUGGCCAUUUGUAUGGAUACCUUAGCAGUAGCCCUCUAGAUUCAGAUCCACCUCCACCAUUCUACAUGCCAGAGGUCAGCCCACUUAGCUCAGUGAUGUCCUCCCCCCCAUUACUUCCUGAGGGAUCAUUCCCCCCAAUUCCAGAGGAAAAUGGGGAAAAUAGUUCCACUAGUACUCUUCCUUUAACACACACACCAACAGGGGGACGUUCUCCAGAGCAGUGGGGAGUCCCAGAUUUUCCCUUUGUGGGAUUAGAAGCCCCAGCCUCUCCAUCUCUGUUUGUACAGCAUCGGUAUGAGACUACUGAAAUACGUCGGCCCCUUCCACCACCUCCUCCUCUUCCUUUUCCACAUGGACAUCCACCACCGAGCUCAUUACAAGUACCUUCAUAUGCUGCCAUCCUGCCCCUGGAAUCACACCCAGGAUGGGUAGGGAGACUACCCAGUCGAUGCCCACCACCUCCACAUCCAUCCUGGCAGGAUGCAGCUAUGCAACUGGCAGCUCAAGGCCAGCUACGGCACACCAGCCAAGGAAUGGGGAUCCCGGUGCUUCCAUAUCCAGACAUUCCUCAACCAGGACCCUUAGGGAUGGAUGCUCGUUGGUUUGAAAGUCGUCCACGUCCACAGAUGAGCCCCAGGCAGCAUCGUAGACUGGACCCUAGUCUACACCAGGUGGUACUGCAACCAUCCCGGCUUUCACCACUUACCCAAAGUCCACUGAGCUCCAGGCAUGGUUCUCCUGAACUAAGUGUAAGGGCCAGACCUCGACCUGGUCUUCUGCCUCCGCCAUCUGACUGCUCUGGCAUUGCCCUCCAACCACCAGGAUUUAUACACAAAUCACCACCUUCCUCUGGAUCCCCAGCCAAGAGCAGCCAUGGGGAAAGUCCUAGUUAUCGAUUAACCCCACCCGAUACCUCCCCCCAUGCCGAAGGACGGAGGAGGAUAGGAGAAGAGCGACUGCAUGCAGAGACGGCGGUGCUGUGCACUGCAGGAAUUUUACAUUUUUGAGAUAUUCAUCAAGUAAAAUUUCACCAUACAGUAUUACCCCAGAAGAGCUUUAACUGUAUGUUGCAAAACAGGGGCUUUAAAAAAAUACACAUUUUAAAGGGGUUACAGAUGGUUAAAAAAAAGAUGAUGAAAAAAGAAGAAACAGCUGUUUUUUUUUUUUUUUGUCUUCAGGAGUGUUUGUAAGGUGUUUCGUAUUUAGUGAGCAUAGAGUAUGCCAUUAAGUCUUAGGCCAUGCACAGUUUUAAUUUGCACAUAUCUGUUAUAACUGCCGGUUGCCAUUUUAAUUCCGAAUCCAAAGCACAUCACUUUCCACCACUCUGCCCAUGGUAACUGUGUCUGUUUCUGAUUGAUCUCAGCUAUCUGAGCAGUGUUGACGUCAUCAACUCCUCCGUCCAAUAGGGUUGGGAUUGCUGCUGUACCUGAGAGGUCAGAAGUUGUGAUAGAUCAGCGUGUUCUCAAGCCCAAAAAAUCCACCAAGGGCAGAUCAAAGUCCAGGAAGCACUCUGAUGGAUCCACCUCACAGGUUUACCAGCUACCCCAAGCCGUGUAUAUGGAUACUCGCUGCGUUCGAAGGAAGAAACGUCCCACACGACAGGACCCACUAUCUCGUCUCUCUGCUUUGAGGGAUGAGCUAUGUCACCGUUCACUGUCUGAUGACCGGGCUGCCAUUCUGACCAGCACCGAGCCUGAUGACUCCAGCGGCCAUGCCACACUUCUGUGACUAUACCCAGAGAGAGGCCUGGUUCUUAGGCCCUUUCUGUCUCUUGGUGCUGAAACUCCCUGCCCUUCUUCUGAAAAGACCUGACACAAAACCGUGAGCAGCGAGUCGUGCGUUCAUUGCCUACCUCACCAACCUCUGUGUGUGCUGAGGAUAAACUUAUGCCUCACGUCUUGGAGCAAUGUACAGUGUUAACUCUGAAAACUCUGAAAACUGGUAGAUAUAAGGAUAUAUUCAUUGGUCACAGUUCAGCACUAUGUAUGGUGUGACUAUAGCACAGAUUGGGAGCUUUGAGAACAAACUGGUAUCUCACAGCUUAGCUUCUUAUAUAGUGUUUAUACCCUUUACAUGAGAGGCAAGAGCAAGGAUCAUGUGGAGCUAUCAUACAGUAUCUCCAUUUGCAUCCACUGUGUAUGUUUUAUAUAUGCAUACAUACAUAUAUUGUAAUAUUUCAGUGUGCGUAUGUAUUCAUAUAUUAUAUUUAUGUUGUCACAGAGGCACAUUUUAAUUUAUUCAGCAUAUAACCUGUAACACAGUUGUGUCUGCUAAAAACAAAGAUAAGUUCAAA